rnacentral:rRNA from 1 species
AAAUUGAAGAGUUUGAUCAUGGCUCAGAUUGAACGCUGGCGGCAGGCCUAACACAUGCAAGUCGAGCGGAAACGGCAGCAUUGAAGCUUCGGUGGAUUUGCUGGACGUCGAGCGGCGGACGGGUGAGUAACGGCUGGGAACCUGCCCUGACGMGGGGGAUAACCGUUGGAAACGACGGCUAAUACCGCAUAAUGUCUUAGUUCAUUACGAGCUGGGACCAAAGGUGGCCUCUACAUGUAAGCUAUCGCGUUGGGAUGGGCCCAGUUAGGAUUAGCUAGUUGGUAAGGUAAUGGCUUACCAAGGCGACGAUCCUUAGCUGGUUUGAGAGGAUGAUCAGCCACACUGGGACUGNGGGGGAUAACCGUUGGAAACGACGGCUAAUACCGCAUAAUGUCUUAGUUCAUUACGAGCUGGGACCAAAGGUGGCCUCUACAUGUAAGCUAUCGCGUUGGGAUGGGCCCAGUUAGGAUUAGCUAGUUGGUAAGGUAAUGGCUUACCAAGGCGACGAUCCUUAGCUGGUUUGAGAGGAUGAUCAGCCACACUGGGACUGAGACACGGCCCAGACUCCUACGGGAGGCAGCAGUGGGGAAUAUUGCACAAUGGGGGAGACCCUGAUGCAGCCAUGCCGCGUGUGUGAAGAAGGCCUUCGGGUUGUAAAGCACUUUCAGCAGUGAGGAAGGUGGUGUACUUAAUAAGUGCAUGGCUUGACGUUAGCUGCAGAAGAAGCACCGGCUAACUCCGUGCCAGCAGCCGCGGUAAUACGGAGGGUGCGAGCGUUAAUCGGAAUUACUGGGCGUAAAGCGCAUGCAGGCGGUUUGUUAAGUCAGAUGUGAAAGCCCGGGGCUCAACCUCGGAACCGCAUUUGAAACUGGCAGGCUAGAGUCUUGUAGAGGGGGGUAGAAUUUCAGGUGUAGCGGUGAAAUGCGUAGAGAUCUGAAGGAAUACCAGUGGCGAAGGCGGCCCCCUGGACAAAGACUGACGCUCAGAUGCGAAAGCGUGGGUAGCAAACAGGAUUAGAUACCCUGGUAGUCCACGCCGUAAACGCUGUCUACUUGGAGGUUGAGGUUUAGACUUUGGCUUUCGGCGCUAACGCAUUAAGUAGACCGCCUGGGGAGUACGGCCGCAAGGUUAAAACUCAAAUGAAUUGACGGGGGCCCGCACAAGCGGUGGAGCAUGUGGUUUAAUUCGAUGCAACGCGAAGAACCUUACCUACUCUUGACAUCCAG